UGCUAAAAUGAGAUAUAUUAACACAAGCAGCCUCCCCAGCACAAGAAGUACCAAGGUAGACUACAAAAGUUUACAAAUAGUCAAAUAAUCAAAACCAGAAAACCAAUCAUACAAGGCCAAAACAAAGUAAAUGACUAGACCACCAGCUAUGGUAGUUUGAAGCUAACGUAAUAUUCGUCGUCUUCAACCACCUAAAAGAGAAAAGCUUGAUCUUGUCCAACAACAGAUGAUACGUGUCAGUUGAGGCUUUGAACAAUCGAUGAUUUCUCUCCGUCCAAACCACCCAAACGCAAGCAAGCCAAAUGAGCUGUAAAAAAGAUCGACGCGCUCAAGAUCCGCCUGCUGAAGAUGUAAACUGGACAAUAUUUUACAAUCAGUAUCUGGCUCAUUAUACCGUUUAAUCUGAUUUUGAGGUCAGUUGUGACAUCAAGUGGUUUCAGUUCCCCCCCAAUUGCAGUUGUUGGCGAUUAAACCGUAAUUCUGCCCAAGUUCAGCGUCAAUUACCACUAAACCAGAAAUAUUAGUUUAUAGUAAAAAUAUUCUAUCGGAGACAAACAUUAAAUAUAGAUAUAUUCUAUUUAAAUUUUGAAUGUUGGUUUAUUACCUUGCAAAAGUCUAGCAACUUUGUGGGAACUAUAACAUCUAUUAAUUUUACUUUUAUUUUAUUUUUUAGUAUACAAUAAAGUAGAGGAUCGAAUCCAUAAUCUCUAGCAUACUAUUGAAAUUUAUAAUCACUAUAUUAAACUUAUUGACUUUUACUUCUCCUUUAUCUAAUGCUAAUAGGAUUUUUGAACUCUCAAUAAAACCCAACUUAUAAGACUAAUAUUUAGUUGAAGGCUUUUUCUAAUGAACAAGUGUGCUAAGUCUUGUAUGGUGCAAAAACUCCAUUUUACCGUUGGAUUAAAAGAUCCAUUAAAUGUUAUUGUGUAUUAUAUCCAUACUAAAUCAUUUCUCAUCUCACUCUCAUCAUUUCAUUCUUUCACAUAUCUCUUCUGUCUACAACCACCGCACCGUGGCAACGGCAGCACAAAUCUUCCCCAAACUAACAACCCCUUUCUCAAAAUUCUCAUCACUUCUUUCACCCUAACAAUCUCCCUCAGCAUCACGUCAACUUUCAAACCCAUCUCCAUUGUAUUCGCCGCCGUGACCCAAACCCAAUACUCCUAUCCGGUCUUGCGCCACCCUCCCUGAAAACUUCCUCGGCCGUGCCCAAUCGGAACGAGUCACAAGUAGAGGUAAUUCAAUCAUUAGAGGAAAUUAAUCAUUACUAAAGUGGACACCAUUGUUGAACAAAAAAUUAAGAAAAUAACUUAGAGCGGACAGUAAGAACCAGAUCUGAGAUUGAUGACAAAAAAUUAUCUGAUUGGGAUCAAAUCUAAAAUUGCAAUAGUAAAGGAAAUCAAAUCUAAUUUUCAUAUCUGAAUCGCGCGUGAAAGAUGGAGGAUGGCGGUGGUUGUGGGUGGUGACGACGGUGGAGGUGUGGUUGUGCUGGCAGCAUUAGAUAAACUUUUCACUGUUAUGGGCGGGUGGUUGGUACUGUUAUGUUACGACUUACCAAGUGCAAUGGGUCUGUUGAAA
rnacentral:lncRNA from 1 species